rnacentral:rRNA from 1 species
CGGGGUGAGGAACGCGUGACCAACCUGCCCUAGAGUGGGGAUACCAGCCAGAAAUGGCUGCUAAUACCGCAUACGACCUGUUGCUGUCGGGUGACAGGGGAAAGCCUUCGGGCGCUUAUGGAGGGGGUCGCGUCGGAUUAGCUAGUUGGUGGGGUAACGGCCUACCAAGGCGACGAUCCGUAGCUGGUCUGAGAGGACGGCCAGCCACACUGGGACUGAGAUACGGCCCAG